AUUGAACGCUGGCGGCAGGCCUAACACAUGCAAGUCGAGCGGAUGAAGGGAGCUUUCUCCUGGAUUCAGCGGCGGACGGGUGAGUAAUGCCUAGGAAUCUGCCUGGUAGUGGGGGAUAACGUCCUGAAACGGGCGCUAAUACCGCAUACGUCCUGAGGGAGCAAGUGGGGGAUCUUCGGACCUCACGCUCUCAGAUGAGCCUAGGUCGGAUUAGCUAGUUGGUGGGGUAAAGGCCUACCAAGGCGACGAUCCGUAACUGGUCUGAGAGGAUGAUCAGUCACACUGGAACUGAGACACGGUCCAGACUCCUACGGGAGGCAGCAGUGGGGAAUAUUGGACAAUGGGCGAAAGCCUGAUCCAGCCAUGCCGCGUGUGUGAAGAAGGUCUUCGGAUUGUAAAGCACUUUAAGUUGGGAGGAAGGGCAGUAAGUUAAUACCUUGCUGUUCUGACGUUACCAACAGAAUAAGCACCGGCUAACUUCGUG
rnacentral:rRNA from 1 species